CCUACGGGAGGCAGCAGUGAGGAAUAUUGGUCAAUGGACGCAAGUCUGAACCAGCCAUGCCGCGUGCAGGAAGACUGUCCUAUGGGUUGUAAACCUCUUUUGUACGAGGGCAAAGGCAGCCACGUGUGUGUGUCUGAAAGUACCUUACGAAUAAGCAUCGGCUAACUCCGUGCCAGCAGCCGCGGUAAUACGGAGGGUUCAAGCGUUAUCCGGAUUUAUUGGGUUUAAAGGGUGCGUAGGCGGUGUGUUAAGUUAGGCGUGAAAUCCGGAGGCUCAACUGCCUCAUUGCCGCUGAUACUGUUCGGCUAGAGAGUAGGUGAGGUAGGCGGAAUGUGUGGUGUAGCGGUGAAAUGCAUAGAUAUCACACAGAACCCCGAUUGCGAAGGCAGCAUACCAAGGUACGUCUGACGUUGAGGCACGAAAGCGUGGGGAGCGAACAGGAUUAGAUACCCUAGUAGUC
rnacentral:rRNA from 1 species